rnacentral:misc_RNA from 1 species
UCCGAGUUGUCCCCGGCAGUCUCCUUAGAGUCCCCACCAUUACGUGCUGGCAACUAAGGACAGGGGUUGCGCUCGUUGCGGCACUUAAGCCAACACCUCACGGCACGAGCUGACGACAACCAUGCACCACCUGUGCACGGCCCUUACGGACCCCCCAUCUCUGGAGGAUUUCCGUGCAUGUCAAGCCCAGGUAAGGUUCUUCGCGUUGCGUCGAAUUAAACCACAUGCUCCACCGCUUGUGCGGGCCCCCGUCAAUUCCUUUGAGUUUUAGCCUUGCGGCCGUACUCCCCAGGCGGGGCACUUAAUGCGUUAGCUCCGGCACGGGAGGAGUCGACACCUCCCACACCUAGUGCCCAUCGUUUACGGCGUGGACUAC